UACGUAGGGUGCGAGCGUUGUCCGGAAUUACUGGGCGUAAAGAGCUACGUAGGUGGUUUGUCGCGUUGUUCGUGAAAACCGGGGGCUUAACCCUCGGGCGUGCGGGCGAUACGGGCAGACUUGAGUACUGCAGGGGAGACUGGAAUUCCUGGUGUAGGCGGUGGAAUGCGUAGAUAUCGAGAGGAACACCUGCGGCGAAGGCGGGUUGCUGGGCUGAUACUGACGCUGAUGCGCGAAAGCCAGGGGAGCGAACGGG
rnacentral:rRNA from 1 species